GGUUUUUUGGAGUUUAAUAAAAAAUCAGGCCUGCCCACUGAUAAAGGGCUGCAGUAUUUUGACUGUACAAAGGUAGCAUAAUCAUUAGUCUUUUAAUUAGGGACUGGUAUGAAAGGUUAGACGGGGGUAGACUGUCUCAUAUAUAAAAAUAAAUUUUAUUUUUAAGGAAAAGAGCUUAAAUUUGGCAAAGGGACGAGAAGACCCUAUUGAAUUUGAUAUAAUAAUUUGUUUUUAAUUAUAUAAAAGAAGUAUAUUUAUAUUAAUUUUACUGGGGCGGUAUGUAUAUAACUUUAUUAGGUUUUAAUAAAAUAAUUAGCGAUGAUUUGAUCCGAGAAGAUUGAUAUUAGAUAAAAUUACUGUAGGGAUAACAGCGUAAUGUUUUUUGAGAGUUCUUAUUGACGAAAAUGUUUGCGACCUCGAUGUUGGAUUAAGGAGUCUUAUUGAUGCAGUAGUUUUUAAAGAGGGUCUGUUCGACCUUUAAAUUCUU
rnacentral:rRNA from 1 species